GCCACAACGAGGCGCUGAGCAGCAGCAACGGCACCUAAACCUGCCUUGCGACGCUCUCACGCAAGGAAAGCGCUGGCACGCGCCGAAGGCGAUCGCAGAGUGCGCAGGACGGAGGCAUCGCCGAGCCAUCACCGGCUCACCUCACAGACAAGGCCAAGGCCACAUACAGGCGCGCGUUGAACACCCCAACACAUCCCACGAGAGAACUCUCUUUCCAUUUACAGCACACACCAGGCCAACACCACCCGACGACAGGGCGGGCGCGCUCCUAAACGCUUCCUCUCGUUGCUCUUGGUCCUGUGCUCACUCCUGCGUUUUCCCUUGAAAAGUCGCGGCCCCACUGGGCGACGGAAGGGGCGAGGAGGGCAGGGGCUCCCCCCGUUUAUACAGCAGCUGCAGUAAGCUUUUUCCUUUUCUUUUUUCGAUCGAUUACACUCAUCCGCCGCCAGCAGCCUUCCUGAGCUGCCCUUCUGUGUCUGUGUGCCUUUCUCGCCGAGGGCGCACACCUACACACACCAAAAUACGUUUUUCUUACAACGUCAACAAAAUUCUUACAUCCGUAACGGGCGCUACGGACGCCAAGCGCCAACAUGGACGCAGAGUUGUUUCCCAAGAACCCCGUCCUCCGGUUCGAUGCCGCUAUCAGUGCUGCGUACUCAAGACUGCUCGUUGACGAACUCAAGGAGCUUCAGCUCAUCCUGCGCGACUACACAAAACUACGUCUCCUGCAAGAUCGUGAAAAGCGUAUUAGAGCAGCACAGAUCACAGCAGCAUCACGGCUUUACACCAGUGGCACCGACUGUGAUCAGCGGCAGUUAUACACCCGCGAAAGACCAGGAUGUCCCGACCAUCAUGACUCACGCGUAGCCAAGGAGCUAUUCGUUGACUCGAGCACACCCUCCAAAGACGUCACACCUAAGAUCGAGGUCUCGCCCACCAGCCCCAACUCGAACGUUGGGGAAGGACCGCCGCUCCCCCGAAAAUUCACACCUGCCUCACACACCUCAGAGAGGCUCUGCCACUCAGGCAGUGACUUUCCUUCACAGCCCACAACAUGUGAGGAAUGGAAACACAAGCCCUUCUCUAAACCAUACGAGCGUCUGGGCUCUACACACGCACAUCCACAAGAAGCUCCCCACCAAGCCGAGCCCUUCACCUCCGCUGCCUUCACACGUACCUCGAAACUCAAUUCUGACACUUUCGCGCCACCGAAACCCCGCUUCUCCGGCGGCGUUGCUGCCGAGGCGGCGGGCGCGCUGGCGCAGCUGGCGGAGGACCGCGCCGCGGACAUGGCGCAGGCCGUGUCGAGCGCCGAGGGAGGCAGCCGCGCCGCCCUUGAGGCAACCGAGGCCGCCGAGCGCGCCGAGCAGGAGCGCGCUUGCGUUGCGUCGGAGGAGUGCGCUGCGCGUGCCGGCGUUGCUGCCGAGGCGGCGGGCGCGCUGGCGCAGCUGGCGGAGGACCGCGCCGCGGACAUGGCGCAGGCCGUGUCGAGCGCCGAGGGAGGCAGCCGCGCCGCCCUUGAGGCAACCGAGGCCGCCGAGCGCGCCGAGCAGGAGCGCGCUUGCGUUGCGUCGGAGGAGUGCGCUGCGCGCGCCGGCGUUGCUGCCGAGGCGGCGGGCGCGCUGGCGCAGCUGGCGGAGGACCGCGCCGCGGACAUGGCGCAGGCCGUGUCGAGCGCCGAGGGAGGCAGCCGCGCCGCCCUUGAGGCAACCGAGGCCGCCGAGCGCGCCGAGCAGGGGCGCGCUUGCGUUGCGUCGGAGGAGUGCGCUGCGCGCGCCGGCGUUGCUGCCGAGGCGGCGGGCGCGCUGGCGCAGCUGGCGGAGGACCGCGCCGCGGACAUGGCGCAGGCCGUGUCGAGCGCCGAGGGAGGCAGCCGCGCCGCCCUUGAGGCAACCGAGGCCGCCGAGCGCGCCGAGCAGGAGCGCGCUUGCGUUGCGUCGGAGGAGUGCGCUGCGCGCGCCGGCGUUGCUGCCGAGGCGGCGGGCGCGCUGGCGCAGCUGGCGGAGGACCGCGCCGCGGACAUGGCGCAGGCCGUGUCGAGCGCCGAGGGAGGCAGCCGCGCCGCCCUUGAGGCAACCGAGGCCGCCGAGCGCGCCGAGCAGGAGCGCGCUUGCGUUGCGUCGGAGGAGUGCGCUGCGCGUGCCGGCGUUGCUGCCGAGGCGGCGGGCGCGCUGGCGCAGCUGGCGGAGGACCGCGCCGCGGACAUGGCGCAGGCCGUGUCGAGCGCCGAGGGAGGCAGCCGCGCCGCCCUUGAGGCAACCGAGGCCGCCGAGCGCGCCGAGCAGGAGCGCGCUUGCGUUGCGUCGGAGGAGUGCGCUGCGCGCGCCGGCGUUGCUGCCGAGGCGGCGGGCGCGCUGGCGCAGCUGGCGGAGGACCGCGCCGCGGACAUGGCGCAGGCCGUGUCGAGCGCCGAGGGAGGCAGCCGCGCCGCCCUUGAGGCAACCGAGGCCGCCGAGCGCGCCGAGCAGGAGCGCGCUUGCGUUGCGUCGGAGGAGUGCGCUGCGCGCGCCGGCGUUGCUGCCGAGGCGGCGGGCGCGCUGGCGCAGCUGGCGGAGGACCGCGCCGCGGACAUGGCGCAGGCCGUGUCGAGCGCCGAGGGAGGCAGCCGCGCCGCCCUUGAGGCAACCGAGGCCGCCGAGCGCGCCGAGCAGGAGCGCGCUUGCGUUGCGUCGGAGGAGUGCGCUGCGCGCGCCGGCGUUGCUGCCGAGGCGGCGGGCGCGCUGGCGCAGCUGGCGGAGGACCGCGCCGCGGACAUGGCGCAGGCCGUGUCGAGCGCCGAGGGAGGCAGCCGCGCCGCCCUUGAGGCAACCGAGGCCGCCGAGCGCGCCGAGCAGGGGCGCGCUUGCGUUGCGUCGGAGGAGUGCGCUGCGCGCGCCGGCGUUGCUGCCGAGGCGGCGGGCGCGCUGGCGCAGCUGGCGGAGGACCGCGCCGCGGACAUGGCGCAGGCCGUGUCGAGCGCCGAGGGAGGCAGCCGCGCCGCCCUUGAGGCAACCGAGGCCGCCGAGCGCGCCGAGCAGGAGCGCGCUUGCGUUGCGUCGGAGGAGUGCGCUGCGCGCGCCGGCGUUGCUGCCGAGGCGGCGGGCGCGCUGGCGCAGCUGGCGGAGGACCGCGCCGCGGACAUGGCGCAGGCCGUGUCGAGCGCCGAGGGAGGCAGCCGCGCCGCCCUUGAGGCAACCGAGGCCGCCGAGCGCGCCGAGCAGGAGCGCGCUUGCGUUGCGUCGGAGGAGUGCGCUGCGCGCGCCGGCGUUGCUGCCGAGGCGGCGGGCGCGCUGGCGCAGCUGGCGGAGGACCGCGCCGCGGACAUGGCGCAGGCCGUGUCGAGCGCCGAGGGAGGCAGCCGCGCCGCCCUUGAGGCAACCGAGGCCGCCGAGCGCGCCGAGCAGGAGCGCGCUUGCGUUGCGUCGGAGGAGUGCGCUGCGCGCGCCGGCGUUGCUGCCGAGGCGGCGGGCGCGCUGGCGCAGCUGGCGGAGGACCGCGCCGCGGACAUGGCGCAGGCCGUGUCGAGCGCCGAGGGAGGCAGCCGCGCCGCCCUUGAGGCAACCGAGGCCGCCGAGCGCGCCGAGCAGGAGCGCGCUUGCGUUGCGUCGGAGGAGUGCGCUGCGCGCGCCGGCGUUGCUGCCGAGGCGGCGGGCGCGCUGGCGCAGCUGGCGGAGGACCGCGCCGCGGACAUGGCGCAGGCCGUGUCGAGCGCCGAGGGAGGCAGCCGCGCCGCCCUUGAGGCAACCGAGGCCGCCGAGCGCGCCGAGCAGGAGCGCGCUUGCGUUGCGUCGGAGGAGUGCGCUGCGCGCGCCGGCGUUGCUGCCGAGGCGGCGGGCGCGCUGGCGCAGCUGGCGGAGGACCGCGCCGCGGACAUGGCGCAGGCCGUGUCGAGCGCCGAGGGAGGCAGCCGCGCCGCCCUUGAGGCAACCGAGGCCGCCGAGCGCGCCGAGCAGGAGCGCGCUUGCGUUGCGUCGGAGGAGUGCGCUGCGCGCGCCGGCGUUGCUGCCGAGGCGGCGGGCGCGCUGGCGCAGCUGGCGGAGGACCGCGCCGCGGACAUGGCGCAGGCCGUGUCGAGCGCCGAGGGAGGCAGCCGCGCCGCCCUUGAGGCAACCGAGGCCGCCGAGCGCGCCGAGCAGGGGCGCGCUUGCGUUGCGUCGGAGGAGUGCGCUGCGCGCGCCGGCGUUGCUGCCGAGGCGGCGGGCGCGCUGGCGCAGCUGGCGGAGGACCGCGCCGCGGACAUGGCGCAGGCCGUGUCGAGCGCCGAGGGAGGCAGCCGCGCCGCCCUUGAGGCAACCGAGGCCGCCGAGCGCGCCGAGCAGGAGCGCGCUUGCGUUGCGUCGGAGGAGUGCGCUGCGCGCGCCGGCGUUGCUGCCGAGGCGGCGGGCGCGCUGGCGCAGCUGGCGGAGGACCGCGCCGCGGACAUGGCGCAGGCCGUGUCGAGCGCCGAGGGAGGCAGCCGCGCCGCCCUUGAGGCAACCGAGGCCGCCGAGCGCGCCGAGCAGGAGCGCGCUUGCGUUGCGUCGGAGGAGUGCGCUGCGCGCGCCGGCGUUGCUGCCGAGGCGGCGGGCGCGCUGGCGCAGCUGGCGGAGGACCGCGCCGCGGACAUGGCGCAGGCCGUGUCGAGCGCCGAGGGAGGCAGCCGCGCCGCCCUUGAGGCAACCGAGGCCGCCGAGCGCGCCGAGCAGGAGCGCGCUUGCGUUGCGUCGGAGGAGUGCGCUGCGCGCGCCGGCGUUGCUGCCGAGGCGGCGGGCGCGCUGGCGCAGCUGGCGGAGGACCGCGCCGCGGACAUGGCGCAGGCCGUGUCGAGCGCCGAGGGAGGCAGCCGCGCCGCCCUUGAGGCAACCGAGGCCGCCGAGCGCGCCGAGCGGGCGCGCUUGCGUUGCGUCGGAGGAGUGCGCUGCGCGCGCCGGCGUUGCUGCCGAGGCGGCGGGCGCGCUGGCGCAGCUGGCGGAGGACCGCGCCGCGGACAUGGCGCAGGCCGUGUCGAGCGCCGAGGGAGGCAGCCGCGCCGCCCUUGAGGCAACCGAGGCCGCCGAGCGCGCCGAGCAGGGCGCGCUUGCGUUGCGUCGGAGGAGUGCGCUGCGCGCGCCGGCGUUGCUGCCGAGGCGGC
rnacentral:misc_RNA from 1 species